GAUGUUCGCCCUGCUAAUUGCCGAGCUCCUCUUUUAGGAUUGGCUGCCCCUCCGCAUCCAUAAUGUAAUUAAAACAAGGGGGAAAAAAUUAUCAUGGAGGCAGAGGUUAAUGCAAGUGUUUAGCAGAUGCCUUACUGUAAAAUCUGCAUUAAAAAAAAAAAAACAAAAAACAAAAAAAACCCAAAAAACCAAACCAAAACAAAAAAACCAACCCAACCAAAAACCCAACAAAGUCAUUAAAACUUAAAUAUCGGAUAAUCUCAAAGCAGCCUGCUGCCUGCGCCUCCGCACCUCGGCCAGUGCUCGCCCGGAUGGCUUGCGCUCCUGAAGCCCGUGUCGCGCUUGUUUUAACUGGUCGGAUCGGAAAGUAACUGAAGAAGCCGGGCACUGGAGAAGCGAGUGUCAUGUCCCUCCUCGGACCUGCCGGGAAACGGGGCCGCGGCCAAAACGCUGGGUGUAAAUGCGACAACAAAAAUAAAUAUUUUAACAUCGCCGCGCA